rnacentral:rRNA from 1 species
UCGAAGGUAGCAUAAUCAGUAGUUUUUUAAUUGAAAACUUGUAUGAAUGGUUGAAUGAGAAAUUAGCUGUUUCAUAAAAAUUAAAAUAGAAUUUUAUUUUUUAGUUAAAAAGCUAAAAUUAAAUUUAAAGACGAGAAGACCCUAUAGAGUUUUAUAUUUAAUAUUAAUUAAUUAAUUUAUAAUAAUUAUAAUUUUUUAGUUUUAAAUAUUUUGUUGGGGUGACAAUAAAAUUUAAUAACCUUUUAUUUAUUUUUUACAUAAAUUAAUGAUUAAAUGAUCCAGUUUUAUUGAUUAAAAGAUUAAAUUACCUUAGGGAUAACAGCGUAAUUUUUUUUUAGAGUUCUUAUCGAUAAAAAAUUUUGCGACCUCGAUGUUGGAUUAA